UAACCGUGUCUCCUCACUCACCAAAAUAGUUGUAUCAUCAACAUAGCCCACCAAACCAGGCCAAGGCUUCUGCUCACCAUCCCCAUCCCCUGUCCUUAGACGAUCCUCCACCAUCCUAUAAAAGGGAUCCUGAACACAUGCAAACAAAAGUUGUGAUAAUGGACAUCCCUGCCGAAGACCUCGCUCCAUGGUGACUCUCUCCCCUACACACCCAUUGAUUUGCGACCUUACCUUCGCGUUUGAGUACAACGUAUCCACCCACCCCACUAUUUCUUCGCCAAACCCCUGUCGUAGGAGAAUCUGCUACUGAACUAUUGGAUAUUUCAUGUUCAGAAACAAGUUAGACAAAAUAUAGGAGCCCCGGAAAUAUGCCCACCUCCACCACGGCUGCUACUACCACAACUACUACCUCCACUGCUGCCUGGAGGACAUUAGAUAAUCAUGUGUCCACCUACAUCCAGUCAUAGAUUGAUUGGGAUGGAUUGUUAUGAUUGGCCGGCCACCAGAGAACUUCAGGACAAAGGGAUCUUCAUGGAACUUCAGGAAUAAUGUCUAUAUAACCAGUUCUACUCUCAAUAAACGUAUAAAGGCA